UUAGUGUUAAACCUCCCUCUCUCUCUCUAUCUUUCCUUCCCUCUCUCUCAAUCUCUCUCCCUCCCUCCCUCUCUUUCUCUCUCCCUCCCAGGUUCCAUGUAGGCCGGGAUGUAAUCUCAUUCACCUCUAAAAUCCACCUGACGUGCUCGUACACACAGAACCUUUCGUGUGAAGUAUUCUGAAUGGAAUACUUCCCCGAAAAAUCCCAAAGCUUGACUUGUAAAGUCAUCAUGGAACUACGUCACGUUUUAAAGCAAUACCAUUUUUAGCUAUAAAACAUAGCUUAUAUACAGACUUACCCCAAAGAACAUGAUACAUCAUGUCACAUAUAUAUGCAUAUAUAAAUUGCUCACUGAUACUGGCACAGACCAACAAGACCCAUCUUUCCAUUCUUUUCUUCAUAAAUUACUCUCGAGGACUUGUUUUUAAUUGGGGAUAUGGACUGAUCUAAGUUGUUUUUUGCAAUUGAUUGAAGAUGGUUUUUCAGUGUUUUCACUCACAGUCUCUCUCUCUCGCUCUUCCUUCUCCUGAUUAGUCAGGACUCUUAAUUUCUCUCACUCUAUACAAGUAGAGAGAGCUCACCUCUAAUAGAUUUAUGCCGCAGACAUUCAUUUUGACUGUUAAUUAGCUCCAAUCAGUGAUCUAGACGCAUUGACGUCAUCGCCUUUCGUAAUUAUGCCUCUGACAGUUAUGAAGAAGCCGUUGAGGAGGAGGGGCAGCAGGGGCUCACCUGUACAGACAGAACAAAACAGCUCCACAGCAUCCCUGUCUCUGUCAGACCGCCAGUGGUCAGAAUAAUCCUUUAACACAUACACACACACACACACACAACCUCACAUGUGACCAUUACACAAUCUGCUGCAGGCUUUAUAUAUCACCUGUGGGGUGGAGUGUUUGGAGAGGUUACCGGCAGAUCAGACAAAGGGGGCAGUGUGCGCUACCACAGGUGUGGUGAGGAUGCGUGUGCGUGUCUCUGUGUGUAGGUGCCCGUGUCUGUGCGUAUGACAGGAGGCAGGGAGAACACACAUACAACCGCAGAGGCCGCGCUUCAGCUCCCAGGUGGAAGAGGCAGCAGCAAAGGGCCUGUGUGAGGAGGUACAGGGAGAGAGAGGGGACAUACAGAGCCAGCAGGUCGGCUGAGGUCUUGUCAAGCUAGCCUGUGCAGAAAGUGCGAGAAAGAGUGAGACUGAGCUCUUCAAGAUGUUCUUCCGAAUCCCCCUACUGACUCCGGGAUACAUCAGAUACCUACAGACGCAGGCCACACAGGCAGUGCUGCACAGACGGGAGGGCCCGUACUCGCCGCGACUGGCCAUGUUCCUGGGGGUGAUGGGCAUCGGGGUGUCUGGCUACGCCUCGCGCCAGCUCACGCUUCACCACAAGCCCUGCUCCAGGCUGCUCCGCUGACGGCCCCGAGACUCCACCCGCCGCCCGCGUAGAUGGGCACGCCAGCACGCUAACUCUCUACAAGGAAGAACCCGACUCUUUCUCAAAGCCUCCUUCCCACCCAUCCUCUCCCUCUCCCUCCCUCUCUCUCUCUCAUAUUUUGACAAAGGGGGUUUUGACAGGUUCCAUUCUCAGUGGCUGUGUUUGCUUUCCUAACUGCUGAGGCUGGCUAGACAGGCAGGUUGGGCUUGACAAAAGUGACCUUAACGUCCCCUUAAGUGCCCCUCCCUUUCCCAAAAUGAUUGACAGCUCAGAGUAUGACUGUAAAGUUUUCUUUGACACUUCAUUUACUGCUUGGCACAGCAGGGAUGUAUCAAAACAAGGUGUUUAAGCUGAUGCUGUUUGCCUGGCUCCGAUGCUGGCCCAUCCUCCUUCAGCUCAAUCAGUCCCUGCCUGUCAUGUUCCCAUAACCUGUGCCUUAAGGAGCACCAGUAGCAGGGUGCAAUGCUAAUAAACUAGGGAUAUGCUAAUUGCUAAAUGCUAACCGGGUACAAUGCUAACAGGAAGCAGCAAAGGUGCUUGCAGGUCUAACCUACUCCGUUAGAUUUCCUCAACAGAAAGUGAAAAACAAGCUUCAAGCUCUGAGGUUGUUGUUGUUUUCAGGCUUAACAGGCCUGAGAUGUAGUCUGAGCGGAUGUGGCAUCAGCACAAGCCUCGUCUUGAGGAUGACCUGGCAAAGCUCUCCACAGCCCAGCAUGGUGCUCAGCUGGCGACUGUAAUGGCAGGACACUGCUGGCAUUUUAGGUGUGGCACCCCUGUGAGGUCUGGUACAGCUUGUGCCGCGUAAACACAGGCUCAUUGAUUCCUGCCGAUAAGCCAUCACGGCUAUCCAUAGCUCUGUACAGAGCCAGGCAGGCUAUUCUAGGUCCCACGGCACCCUGGCGUCUGCUGUGCCCUGGGGUUAUUUAUGCCCCAUCUGCAGUGUUGGGAAGGUCACAGACGGGCUUGUGUUGAACAUGCCAAGACUGAUCAAUAACUCAGGUAGCAGGAAUAAAAUGGUACGAAGCAAGAAGUUCAGUCAAGGGAGCAGGGACAUGGCAAGUGACAGAAGUUCCGCACAUUGACUGUGGCGCUGGCAGGCUUCUGUGGACCGGCAGUUUCCACGCCACGGACUGGCAUCGGUUUUCGGGAUUAAUGAUCGAUGGAACUGUAUUCUGAGUACCACCUAUUUAAAUUUAAAAGGUCCUCAGAAAGAUGGAGUCCGUGUUGAGAAUAUUUAUGUCCAGACAGCUCUGGCUCUCGUCAGUGGGGAUCUGGUGCACCUGCACUUUCAGCUCAGAUGGUUCCUAGAUAGAGACAGAUGCUAUUUGAGUUAAAGAAGAAAACGUAUUCAUUCAGAUGGUUCCUAGAUAGAGACAGAUGCUAUUUGAGUUAAAGAAGAAAACUUAUUCAUUCAGGGUUCCUAGAUAGAGACAGAUGCUAUUUGAGUUAAAGAAGAAAACGUAUUCAUUCAGAUGGUUCCUAGAUAGAGACAGAUGCUAUUUGAGUUAAAGAAGAAAACUCAUUAAUUAAAGUAUAAUGGCUGUGGGCAGUUCAAGCGCAAGUGGGAUGGAAGUUGUAUGCACCCUGUGUCAUGGAUCCCGAGUACAACAUUCAGCACGUGUUGCGGCUGUCACCAGCCAGCUGUGCGUUGUAUCCUGCUGCUCAGGAUCUAUAAUUGGGCAGUUGUUAUAUUGGUGAGGUUAGGUUGUUGCAUAUGAGAACUUGCAUGUGACAGUGAGAAGUUUGGCUGCUGUGGGAAGUCCCCAACCAAUAGCACAAGGAAUUUAACAUCUUUUCCUGUGUAUGACUCAAAUGAGCCUCUACCGAUGAGAAUGCUUCCUGGUUCCUGUGUUGAGACGUUAGGAGGCUGAGCUUCCACCGUCUGACGAUGGGUCACACUGGCCACUUCUCAACUAUUUUCAGCUCACAGCGCCACUCAGGAAGUCCAAAUGAAGGGCCUUGUCAUUAUUUCAGGCUGACAGAUCACAAUAAGUUGACAGAAGGCUUCACAUUGCUAAAGAAAAGGCAUAACUGAAUUGGGCGUCUCACAUAGAGAGAGAGAGAGACAGAGUGUCUGUCAGGUUUAAGUGUUUCAUUAAAUUGCAGAUGUGUUUAUCGCGAACACUGGGAAGGGUUGUUUGCUCUGCUCUGCUCUGCUCUUUACAGGAACAGAUUUAUUUCAUCAAUCGUCUACUUCAAUUAUUCCUUUUUGAAAAAAAUCUUUGUUGACAGAACAAACAGUUUGAACAGUUUGGUAAAGAUGAAGAGCAGUCCUCACCUAGACUUACUGUCACUUGUUCAGAGAGAUUAUUUAAAAUAUAUGUAUCAUAUCAUUAUAUGUUUUCAUAAACACAUUGCAGGUUUGCACAUUGAUUUGUUUGUUUGUUUGUGUUUUGUUGUUUUCGUCUGUACAGGCAUGAAAGUAUUUCAUAUGUUGAUAUUUUAAUUUUUUUGCUUAUAUGUGUGUCAUGUUGUACCAGGAGAUUACACAAUGGGACAUUUGAAGUUCAGUUUCCAUGCAGAUCAGAGCUGAUGCAGAUACACUGAACCCCUGAAUGACCACUCAGGGGUCUCAUUCAUCUGUGAAGGGUGUCCUGGGCCAGCCAACCCACAGAUAGACACCCCAGAGACAGAGUGACCCACAGAGUGUCCCACAGAGUGACCUGUAUGUAGAAUGAUUGUGGUGGUGAAGAGGGGGAUACAGAAGGGGUAAAGUCAGCAAAGAGAUGUAGAACCAUGACCAUAAGGGUCUCUUAAUAGAGAAUAGCGCUUUCAUUUAUUGAUCAAUAGCCUAUAUGAGAAUUUCUUCCUUUGUCAACCUUUGUUUAUGUGACUAUAUUACAUCACCAUGACCUGAAUGGUCUCUUAACGUAGAAGAUAGUUGAUGUGUUGAUCAAUCGACGUUUUUUUCUCUGACUCAAGGAAUGUAUCACCGACAAAGAAAUGUAUGCUAGCUUAAGUCGAUGUUUAAAAGCUUGUUGUGAGCUGACACGUCUGACAUAAUGUAGGGCCGACACGGGUUAAAGAGAGCGUGUGAGCAUGAGUUAAUUAGAGUAGCUAAUUCAAACAUUCCAAACGAGAGGCAGCCCCUACACAACAAGCGAUUACUCUCUUAAACGGGCCACGGGAUGAGCCGCUCAUCUUUCUGAUCCCGUUAGUGCUUCCAGGAGGAGAUAAACGGCGCAGGUCACAGUCACGGCAGCCACAUACAGUACCUGCACGUAUUCCCAGCGUCACCAUUUUCCAUGAUAGUCGGCCCUUGAGACUUGGUGAAGAGCUGCUCGGAUCACACAGGGAUAAUGAUGGUUUAAAUAUAAAAUCACCAGAGAAAAAAAACAGGCGCACUAAAGGUUAAUGAUGUAGGCACAAAAAUAAACAAAUUCCUUUUCUAAAAAGGAUACACAGGUUUUGCUCAGGUUGCACAAGCAAAAAUCUUUUGAUAUAAUAUUUUCAAUAAAAAAUAUUUUCACUGGUGUGACUGAUUUUCAGCACAGUUAAGUCUAAAUUAAAUAUUUUAUCUGAUAGGAUUUCAACAGAAAUUGUCUACAUGAUACGUUACAUAAACCGUGAAUCAGUCAUUUGCAAUAUUAUUAAAAAACAACCUUAUGUUACGUUGUUAAUUCUUCUCAUCCUGAAAAUGUGUGUUUUGUGACUUCAGGAUUGUGUAAAAACUAUCUGUAAACUAGAUUUAGAUGAAAUUUAGAUCACAAAGCAGAAACAGUCACAGAAUUCAGAUUAAAAUCAGUAGAGCUCAUGGUCUCUUCGAUUUCUGUUGUGUUUUAUUUCUAUUGCUGUUCUUGUUAUUUUUGUUUCUAUAUUCUACAAUUCUGUGUAGAUGAAAUGAGAGACCUUUACCAUUAAUGAGAAUGAAAAUCCUGAUUUUCUCUCCAGGUAAAGUGCAGUGGGGGAUGCAAUGGUUAAGUUUAAGAGCCUCCCUCAGUUGUCAUUUACGUCUGCUUUAUACAACCUCUGCUAUAAAGCCCUGUGGGACCUGGCCCUUGCUGUUCUACAGUUUAAGGCCUGGCACCCUAAACCGUGGAGAAAAGCUGCCAGGCCCCCUUUUGAAUUCAUAGGAUCACCCUGAUUCUGCUCCGCAGUGUGAAUAGGCCCGGGACUUGGGGGCUGUUGCCAUAGUGAACCGAUGAAAGAUCAAAGCACCUUUUGUUUAGCGCUUGGUCGUCAUAACAAGCACCUUGUUGAGUGUCAAAUGUUUAUUUUUAUCGCCCUGUUUUGCGUCUGUUGAUGAAUAAAGAGCUAUGUAAAGGGACCGGUGUGCUCUUUGUGUCUGUGUAAACAAACAGCAGAGAAAAAUACAAGACUCGCAUCAACCAAAAUACAUGGAGGUGCUCCAGCACCACACUCACUGUCUGUCUGUCUGUCUGUCUGUCUCUCUCUCUCUCUCUCUCUCUCUGUCUCUUUCUCUCACACACACACACACAUAGAGAGAGAGAGAGAUGCAACAUUAUCAGUUCCACUCAUACACUGUACAAGUCAUUCUUUCACUCACUAGAUGUCAGUAAUGCUUUUAUUUUAGACAGUUGUUCCAUACAGUACUUGUAGUCUAGCACUGUAGUGACAUGGGAACAGUAUAUUUCACUCUUUUUUCACGCUAUCUCUCACUAAAAGACUCCUGCUGGUGUCGAAGCUGCACUGAUAGAAGCAAGAAACAUUCUAGAAGGCUAGUUGACUUCACCCUAGCCUGUAUGAAAAAGAAACAUGACAGAUUGCAUUAGUAAGGCUGUACGACCCAUAGGAAUGCAAAUCAGGGUCAGUGUAUAUGUAUGUGUGUGUGAGUGUACAUAUGUGUGUGUGUGUGUGUGUGUGUGUGUGUAUAUGUAUGUGUGUGUGAGUGUACAUAUGUGUGUGUGUGUGUGUGUGUGUGUGUGUGUGUGUGUGUAUGUAUGUGUGUGUGAGUGUACAUAUGUGUGUGUGUGUGUGUGUGUGUGUGUGUACAUAUGUGUGUGUGAAUGUACAUGUGUGUGCUCUUGUUGAGUUAUGUUUGUCUCUGUUCCUAAUGAUCCUGGCUUUGAAUGUGUGUGCGUACGAGUGUGUGUGAUCCAGCUGUAUGAGUAAUGACUGAUCUGGUCCUUA
ensembl:lncRNA